GUUCGAUCAUGGCUCAGGAUUGAACGCUGGCGGGAUGCUUUACACAUGCAAGUCGAACGGCAGCACGGACUGGUCUGGUGGCGAGUGGCGAACGGUGAGUAAUGGAACGCGCUCGCCAGUGCGAUAACUACGAAGAAGGCGCGUAGCUAAUACCGCAUACGCCCGGGGGAAAGCGGGGACCUUCGGGCCUCGCACUGUUAGAGCGGGCCGUGAUAUCGGAUUAGCUAGUUGGUGGGGUAACGGCUCACCAAGGCGACGAUCCGUAGCUGGUUUGAGAGGACGACCAGCCAGCACUGGGACUGAGACAUUGGCCCAGCAGACUCCUACGGGAGGCAGUGCAGUGGGGAAUUUGGACAAUGGGGGAAACCGGAUCCAGGCCAUAUCCCGCGUGUGCGAUGAAGGCCUUCACAAAAGCACUUCUUGGCAAGGAAAGAAACGGCACGGGAUAAUACCCCGUGCAACUGACGGUACCUGCAGAAUGGCACCGGCUAACUACGCCAGCAGCCGCGGUAAUACGGGUGCAAGCGUUAAUCGGAAUUAUUGGGCGUAAAGCAGGCGGUUCGGAAAAGAAAGAUGUGAAAAUCCCAGAGCUUAACUUUGGAACUGCAUUUAACUUACCGAGCUAGAGUGUGUCGAGGGAGGUGGAAUUCGGGCGUAGUAGUGAAUGCGUAGAUAUGUGGAGGAACACCCGAUGGCGAAGGCAGCCUCCUGGGAUAACACUGACGCUCAUGCACGAAAGCGUGGGAGCAACAGGAUUAGAUACCCGGUAGUCCACGCCCUAAAACGAUGUCAACGCGUUAGCUGUUGGGGGCCUUCUUUGAAAUGGUAGCAGCUAACGCGUGAAGUUGACUGCCUUUGGGGAGCGCGGUCGCAAGAUUAAAACCUGCUGAAUACGACGGACCUGCAUGUUGUGGAGAUGUGGAUUAAUUCGAUGCAACGCGAAAAACCUUACCUACCCUUGACAUGUCUGUAAAUCCCGAAGAGAUUUGGAGUACUCGCAAGAGAACCGGAACACAGGUGUUGCAUGGCUGUCGUCAGCUCGUGUCGUGAGAUGUUGGGUUAAGUCCUGCAACGAGCGCAACCCUUGUCAUUAGUUGCUACGAAAGGGCACCUAAUGAGACUGCCGGUGACAAACCGAGGAAGGUGGGAUGACGUCAAGUCCUCAUGGCCCUUAUGGGUAGGGCUUCACACGUCAUACAAUGGUCGGGACAGAGGGUCGCUAACCUGGCGAGGGGGAGCCAAUCCCAGAAACCGAUCGUAGUCCGGAUCGCAGUCUGCAACCUCGACUGCGUGAAGUCGGAAUCGCUAGUAAUCGCGGAUCAACAUGCAGUCGUGAAUACGUUCCCGGGUCUUGUACACACCGCCCGUCACACCAGUGGGAGUGUUUUACCAGAAGUAGUUAGCCUAACCGUAAGGAGGUGAUUACCACGGUGAUCUUAUGACUGGGGUGGUCGUAACAAGGUAGCUCCAGCAUACCUUUGAUGCUCCCA
rnacentral:rRNA from 1 species